rnacentral:rRNA from 1 species
GAUGAACGCUGGCGGCGUGCCUAAUACAUGCAAGUCGAGCGAUCACACGAGGCACCUUGCUGCUUUACUUUCGCGUCGCACGCGUGAGUAACACGUCGGUAACCUACCUUUAAGACUGGGAUAACUUAGUGAAACCGGUGCCUAUUCCGGCUUAUCUUUUCAACCCCAUGGUUCAAUACUGUAAGGCGGUUUUGCAUUCACUUUGACCUGAUUCCGCGCCGUAUUAGCUAGUUGGUCAGGUAACGGCUUACCAAGGCAACGAUGCGUAGCCGACCUGAGAGGGUGAUCGGCCACACUGGAACUGAGACACGGUCCAGACUCCUACGGGAGGCAGCAGUAGGGAAUCUUGCGCAAUGGGCGAAAGCCUGACGGAGCAACGCCGCGUGAGUGAUGAAGGUCUUCGGAUCGUAAAACUCUGUUAGUAGGGAGGAACAAAUGUGUAAGUAACUAUGCACGUAUUGACGUUACCUAAUCAGAAAGCCACGGCUAACUACGUG